rnacentral:rRNA from 1 species
AACGAACGUUGGCGGCGUGGAUUAGGCAUGCAAGUCGAACGAAUCCCUGGAGCUUGCUCCAGGGGGAAGUGGCGAAAGGGGCAGUAAUGCGUGGGUAACCUACCCCGGGGACGAGGAUAGCCGUUCUAACGGACGGGUAAUACUCGGCGAUUCGGCGAGAGGACAUCCUUUUACCGGGAAAUGAACUUCGCCUCGGGAGGGGCUCACGUGAUAUUAGCUUGUUGGUGAGGUAACGGCUCACCAAGGCGAAGAUGUCUAGCGGGUGUGAGAGCACGACCCGCGCCACUGGCACUGAGACACUGGCCAGACUCCUACGGGAGGCUGCAGUCGAGGAUCUUCGGCAAUGGGCGCAAGCCUGACCGAGCGACGCCGCGUGUGCGAUGAAGGCCUCGGUUGUAAGACACUGUCGAGGGGA